rnacentral:lncRNA from 1 species
GGUUGACAGCUCUCUCAGAUUCGGCUUAGUAUUUUCUUUAGCAGAUUGAGCUUCGAGACAUACUCGAGAGGUAGCGGUUCAUUCCAGACGUGCCCUUGAGUUAUCUUUACUUUCAGUUUUGUUCUAUUUGAGAACUAUACUCUGAGACUUGUAUAUUUUUAUUCGAAUUCUGUAUUUAGAGGUUUGUACAUGUGACAACCAAAUUCUGGGUAGUGUUG